GAUAAACGCUGGCGGCGUGCCUAACACAUGCAAGUCGAACGCCCUUUUGCGCAAGUGAGAGGGAGUGGCGGACGGGUGAGUACCACGUGGGUACCUACCUUGAGGUGAGGAAUACCACCGAGAAAUCGGUGACAAGACCGCAUACGCUCGGGCAACCGAGCAAAGUCAUGCAAAUGACGCCACAAGAUGAGCCUGCGCCUGAUUAGCUGGUUGGUGAGGUAACAGCUCACCAAGGCGACGAUCAGUAGCUGGUCUGAGAGGAUGAUCAGCCACACUGGGAUUGAGAACGGCCCAGACUCCUACGGGGGCGA
rnacentral:rRNA from 1 species